AAGCGUUCAUGACCAGACUUGGGCAGGUUGAUCAUCCGUGGUUCUCCGCGGUGCACUCUGCCUGCCCAGGCCAGCAUCAGUUCGCCCCGGGGGAUAAAGGCUUUGGGAAUGUGGCUGCCUCGGGAGUGUUAUAGCCCACUGCGUAAUUCCCUUCCAGCGGACCGAGGCCCGCGCGUUCUUGUAGCGCAAGGAUGCUGGCGUAAUGGUCGUCA
rnacentral:rRNA from 1 species